GUACGCCUGGCCUUGAUACCAGUGCCAGCAUUGAAGUUGGUGAAACAGAUGAAAGGCACUACAAAACAGGUGGAAGUGCAUUCCACACCAUGUGGUCAAUGAACAUUGAUGGACUGACACGGAUAGAAAGCGGCAUCACUGUGACCAUGCUCCUCUAACAGCUGAGGAGCAGAAGAAGAGGAUGUGGCUGAAGAAGGACUCGGUGGCAUAUCAGGACCUGACGUCGCUCAUCUUUGAAAAAAGGCUUUUGAAAGAUCUUCAGAAGAUGGCCCUCUUCAAACAUACUGGGCCACUGGAGAUCUUUCACAGAGCUCUCCUGAAGUACCUCCCUAAAUGCCAGGCCUUCUCCUACGAGGGAGAGGGCCUACCUCGCCAUCAUGGAACAUUAUGAGAACAUUGUGGCACGAGAACAAGCCACCACGGCAACAGGAGAACCACGCGUCAAGCAGGUCUUCUGCAAAAAGUCAAAGCAAUGGAUAGUCAAGAAAAUCUAUAAGCCACACACCACCAAGUUCAUCUAGACACUAAUUGAGAAGGUCAUAGAAAACAGACGCAACCCAAACAUAACAUUCAAGGACUCAACCGCUUCACUCACCCAACCACAACCUCCUUUGCCCCCUAACAUUGCCCCUGUCCCAACCACAACCUCCUUUGCCCCCUAACAUUGCCCCUGUCCCAACCACAACC